CUUAAAACAUAAAAGAAACACUACAAUUAAAAAUAUUAAAAUCUAUUAAUAACUAAACAUAAAAACAAAAAACAAAAAACAAAAAACAAAACAAAAUAAAAAUUAGAAGCAAAUCAAAAUCAAAAUCGUGUGUUUCUUCUUCCUCUUAAAACCCUAGCCUCGCUUCCUCCACCUCUGAACAAUUUCAAGAUCUGGACUUUGCCUUUGAUCCGGGUGUAAGUGGUGAGGGGCAACGUUCUGGAGAUGACAUCGGAAUAGACAUUAGAGUCUGAGAGCAAUUGAUCGGCCAUCACCGUCAACGUGAGAUUCAGAGGAGUUUGCGGUUGAAUCGGCCGCCGAGGUCGGGUUCAGUUCGCUCCAAGUUGUUUGGGAAUAAGUUCCCUUGGUCGCAUUCAACUGGGCAUUCGAUGGUUCAGUCUGGUGACAAUAAUGUAGAUCGAUUUACGUUAUCAAAAGGGCCUUGAACUGGACCGGGAGCUGUGCUGCUUCAAGUUUGCAAUGCGAUGGGAGUGGGAGAAAAGGGUACCGUACCAGAAAUGGUGAGGGUUCGAGUAGGGGGAAAUCUUAUAAGCGGCUCGGAAGUUUAGAGCAUUUGGUGAAAUCAGACCGAUGGUUUUUUUCAUAAAUUUGUUCCAAAACAAAUUGGGUCUCUAAUCUCUAUUGUUAUGGUUUCAUUUUUUAUGGAAUUGUCUGUUGCUAUAGUUUUGUUGCUCUUGAUGGGUUAGUUUGAAUCUAGGGGUUUCUAUUUUGUGGUUUCUCCUUUUCCUUCUCAGGUGGAUCUAAUAAUUUUUCCAUGGAAUGGCAUGUUGAUUACAAAAUUUGUCCGACUUUGCAAAGAGGAUGAAGAAAAUACAGAUAAAUAAUUGGGAUGUUUUAUUGUAGUGUUCUAGACAAUUUGGGUUUGCUGAAGAUGAAGAAUGGUUUUGUUUGAUGAAGAUGAAGAAUGGUUUUGUUGAAGAAGAAAAAGAAACCCAGAUCAUCCAUUACGUGUAUUAAUUUUUUUUUAAAAAGCUACGUAGGAAAAUUGGUCAGAUCUUUUGAUGUCUCUUAGCUAAAUUAGACGGAAUGACUUAAUUCAAAAUGUUUUAAAAACACAGUGGACUAAUAAUAUUUUUUUAAAAUUCAGUGACUUAAUGCUUAC
rnacentral:lncRNA from 1 species